AACGAACGCUGGCGGCAGGCUUAACACAUGCAAGUCGAGCGCCCCGCAAGGGGAGCGGCAGACGGGUGAGUAACGCGUGGGAACGUACCUUUUGGUUCGGAACAACUCCGGGAAACUGGAGCUAAUACCGGAUAAGCCCUAACGGGGAAAGAUUUAUCGCCGAACGAUCGGCCCGCGUCUGAUUAGCUAGUUGGUGGGGUAACGGCACACCAAGGCGACGAUCAGUAGCUGGUCUGAGAGGAUGAUCAGCCACACUGGGACUGAGACACGGCCCAGACUCCUACGGGAGGCAGGAGUGGGGAAUAUUGGACAAUGGGCGCAAGCCUGAUCCAGCCAUGCCGCGUGAGUGAUGAAGGCCUUAGGGUUGUAAAGCUCUUUUGUCCGGGAAGAUAAUGACGGUACCGGAAGAAUAAGCCCCGGCUAACUUCGUG
rnacentral:rRNA from 1 species